rnacentral:lncRNA from 1 species
GGCAUCUCUUUUUUAUUUAAAUCUGUUUUUAGUAGAUAACUUAUUAACUGAGAGAACUAGGUUUUCUUGAUCCAUAGCCCAUGGGAACAAAACAUAAUUUGACAAUUCAAUUCACAUCUUACAAAGACUCUUCCCUCUGGGAGAAAGCCCACCAGGAUCCCUAUAGAAUUUUCUAUUCUGGUCCUUCCUUCUUACAUGUGGUAUGUACUCUCAAAGCUAGACACAGGUGAGCAGGGCAUUCUGAUCCUUCCCAACCCUUCAGAGCACAGAACUGUGAGAACCUAAGCCUGUCUACUGCAACUUCCCUGAGAAGAGCUGGCUGCACAGGACUGUUGGCAAUUUUACAGUUCAUUGCUGGUAUUGCAGAUAAUGCUGUUAUUCUCAAUGCUGACUCCCUUCCAGUCAAAUAAUCAGAGUCUUCAUAAUUUAGGGUCACCAUCAGACCUACAUGAUACUCCCUCUCUACUGUGUUGAAUAACGUUUCUCGUUGCCUUGACAAAAACACCUGAAAAAAGUAAUCAAAGAAGGAAAGAUCUCUUUUGGCUCACAGAUGGAGUCUAUCAUGUUAUUGAAAACACUGCAGUACAAGUUUGGGGCAGCAACAUCCAUUAUCAGGAAGAAGAGAGAGAGAGAGAGAGAGAGAGAGAGAGAGAGAGAGAGAGAGAGAGAGAGAGAGAGAGAGAGAGAGAGAAUUCUGGUGCUGGUGCUCAGUGCCUAUUUGCUCAUUCUGACCCAGCCCAGGAUUCCAUUCUGUUGAGUGGAGCCACCCACAUUUAGCAUUUGUCUUCUCACCCAAAUUAACCUAAACUAGUAAUUCACUGAGAAAUUCAUGUCUACAGGCUUGUCUCCCAGGUGUCUCUAGAUCUUCCCAUGCUGACAACCAGUAUCGGCCAUCCAGAUCUCUCUCCCUGAUGAGCCCAGGGCUAGGUGAGGUUAGAACACAGAAGGAAGCCUCAUCCUCCACCAUGUUCUCUCAAGUGCUGCAGAAUGGGAUCAGUAAGCUGAUGUCGAGCGUUUGAGGGAGCUGAACCCUCCUGUGUCCUUCUGUGCUGAGGAGACAUGAACCUCUGCUUCUGCAAGAGCAUGCCCCAGUUCUCAGUCAGCAUGUGAUGAACAGUCUGUUUACUUCUAACCCUGAUCAAAGAUAUUGUACAGAUUGAUGUCUCACAAUGGCCGCCUUGUAAGGGAAAUACCAUGUGAUCAGUGCUGGCCACAAGAAGCUGAGCAUUCUGAGAAGGUGCAUCUGGGAGAUGUCUGUGUAAAGUCAUCUCUGAUCCGAAUGUGUAAGCCUGGAGCCCUGGUGGUUCCUGCACCUGCGUGGCUAGCUCAUUAAUGUAAGGGAGAAUGAGAAAGAGAAAGCAAGAGGAAACCUCAUGGGAUUGCUGAACACCUGCACAGACUCCAGAACCCACCUGUGGCUGUGUGUUAUUCGAGGAACACAUUUCUCAUUGUUGAAACUAUUCACCUUACAGCUUUCUCCUGUUUCCAAGUUUCCCCAAGGAUCUACUUUGCUGCUGCCAUGUAAAUGGUGCACUCUGAAGACAAACACAUGCUGCAUAAUACUGCUGUAUGGAUUCUGGGAAUCUGAGCUCAAGGCAUUGUGUUUGCAAAGCAAGGCUCUUACCCAUUGAACUAUCUCUCUAGUCACCAAUCAGGAGCUUAUACGACCAUCAAGGUCUCUGGUGGAAAACAAGUGAGUAAGAACUGGAGGCUGGAGGCACACUGGAUUGAGGAUGGGCAAGAUGGUGGUCACAGCCUUAAGCUAGGAAAGGCUCAUGAAGUCCUACGGAAGUAGUAUCUGAAGGAUCACCAUACCACCAGGCAAUGAGAGAAGCAAGCCUCUGAAGGGAGAUGUCUGCACAAGUAUGAAGGACUGAAAGGAUGUGUGAAGGAAGCUGCAGCACAGAUGGUAGUGGAAACAGUCUGAGCUGUGCCAGCCAUAGCCAGCAGUGAUUCACAUAGUCCCAGCUGUCCUUGAACUCACUAUAUAACUGAGGAUGACCUUGGAUUUCUGAAGAUCCUCCCACCUCCACUUUGCAAACGCUAAGAUGACAGGGUGCUAACCCCAUGUGACUCAUUAAUGAUAGAAUUUCCUGGAUGAAGUUACCUGGAAGACAAGAAGCAGAUGGCUGAGUGACCCCAGAGUUGUCAUUGUGCUUUGCUGAGUCUCUUUCAUUUUCUGGGAAAUAAAGAACUACCUUAUGUGACUGCUAAGGGCUCCAGGGCUCAAAAAACUCUACAGUCCAUGACUUGAGUUAUUCCAAAAAGCUAUUACUAAUAAAAAUAAUAGCUUCCAUUUUUUUUUUUGAGUACCGGCUCCAGUCUGGCAAUUACACUAGCAGACCCUACAUAUGACUCUUUCCUCUAGGCAUAACAUGAUUGCCAUCUUGAAAUAGAGAUUACCCUGGCCUGGUAACUAUAGCAACUAAUUGAGCAGAGCCCCACUAAGAUAGCAAUGGCUAUUAUAAGAGUGACUGAGUGAUUGACAACCCUAGUAGAAAAAAGAGAUGGGAGGGACAUAGGAUCCCUACCAGGAAUUCCAGCCAUUACUCUCCUCUGCUCUCCCCUGGCUACCAGUGAUCUUGGGAGAUGCUGACAUAUAUAAGAAGAUUAACUGAGAGAGGGACUCCAUGAUGCAGCUCCCAGGAGGCCACCAUCCUUGAUGGGAUGGGGUUGAGUGAUGCAGAUAUACGGGGACGAGUGACCCCCUGACCCAUGCCUUGUAAGGAAGUCCAGAAAACUCCUUGAUUCACCAGAUUGGACUUUGAUAGAAUUGUUACUUUGGUCUGUCAUUGAUGCCCUAUGUGAUCAGUAGACAUUUGUUCACAUCUACCCAGGAAGUUAACACCAUCCACCACAUCCAGAUAUUAAGACAUUGCCCCUAGUGACCCCCAUUAGCUGUGGAUAACACUAAGAUGCAGAGAAGUUAGUGGGCUGGUCAUAGUCCCAGGAUGC